rnacentral:misc_RNA from 1 species
GAUGAAGAACGUAGCGAAAUGCGAUACGUAAUGUGAAUUGCAGAUUUCAGUGAAUCAUCGAAUCUUUGAACGCACAUUGCGCCCGCUAGUAUUCUGGCGGGCAUGCCUGUUCGAGCGUCAUUUCAACCAUCAAGCCCUAGGCUUGCGUUGGAGCCCUGCGGCUGCCGCAGGCUCCCAAAUCCAGUGGCGGGCUCGUCGUCGUACCGAGUGCAGUAAACAUCCUCGCUCAGGGAACGUGACGGGUUCUUGCCGUGAAACCCCCCACAUAUCAAGGUUGACCUCGGAUCAGGUAGGAAUACCCGCUGAACUUAAGCAUAUCAAUAAGCGGAGGU